rnacentral:lncRNA from 1 species
UGUAAAAUCAUAGCUCAAAGGCAAGGCGAACUAGUCAAUUAAUGGAGGAAUUUCUAUAGCUAUCAGCAUAUCCCUUAAUCUAUUGCGGGGAAUGGAACAAAGCGUUACGCCGCCGCCACGGCGGCCAGAACCACCGCCCAAAACAAAAUUUGCGGUACCAACGCAGCAAAGCAAUCCAAGUUUUCCUCUCAAAUCAUCAAUUGAAAAAUCGAAUUUGUAAAAAAAAUUAAAAAAAUCCAUCGAGAUGGAGAAGAAAAAACACAAAAUUGAAAUGCCGGAGCUACUGCAACAGAUCAAUCGCGAAAACUAGUACCAAUAUACGAGGAAAAUCUAAACCUGAAAACACGAAUAAAAACAUAGAGAAGUGCAAUCGGGAGAGAGAGAGAGAGAUAAAAUACCGGUAUAAAUCGAGGAGAGGAGAACGGAAAUCAAAUCUACAACAGAAGAUUUUGAUCGAACACUUUUUUAGAGAGAGAAAGAGACGUUGGUUGAGAGCAAACGCAGGGAAAUCGAGAAAUCGAACGACUGGAUAAAGUAUUGGGUGUAGAGAGAGAGAGAAGAGAGAUUUGGGGAGAGAGAGAUAUAUAAAGAGGGAGAGCUAUUGUGCCGGUGGCUGAGGGUAAUAUAAAAAGAAAAAAAAAAAUGGUUCAUUUGAAGG